rnacentral:tRNA from 6 species
GGUCCGGUAGUUCAGUUGGUUAGAACGCCUGCCUGUCACGCAGGAGGUCGAGGGUUCGAGUCCCUUCCGGAUCGCAA